rnacentral:rRNA from 1 species
UACGGAGGGUGCAAGCGUUGCUCGGAAUUAUUGGGCGUAAAGGGUAGGUAGGUGGUCUCAUUUGUCUGGGGUGAAAGCCUUGAGCUUAACUCAAGAAGUGCCCCAGAAACGGUGAGACUAGAGUCUUGGAGAGGGUCGUGGAAUUCCCGGUGUAGCGGUGAAAUGCGUAGAGAUCGGGAGGAACACCAGAGGCGAAAGCGGCGACCUGGACAAGCACUGACGCUGAGACGCGAAAGCGUGGGGAGCAAACAGG